UUUGCUGCUUGAUUGACACGUACGCUCACUUGCAUAUUUCUGCUAACCAUGGCACCAAGUGAAGUUUGGAAAUAUUUUGAAAAUAAGGCAGUCGAGGGCUUAGCUACUAUAUAGUCUGAACCCUACUGGCAAUAUGUGUUCAACUCCCAACUCUAGCUUCAAUCAAAUAGACAACUUCUUUUAUGACGAGGAAGACGAAAUGUUAGAGGCCUAUUUAUCGCAAGGCGUUCAAUCAAAAAUUUGACAUAGACGUGCUAUCUUACUGGAAAGGAAAGCAGUAUACUGACCAGGAGUUAUACGCAGUUAGUAACGUUUGUUAUGCCGUACCGCCAACUCAGGUGUCGAUUGAACGAGCAUUCUCCACUCUGAGGCUGGUGCUUACCGACUACCGCAAUCGAUUAAGCCAGGAUGUUCUUGAGAACAUAUUGCUAGUCAAAUUAAAUCCCACCUUUUUGGACAUGGCCAUUGAUACUUUG